GGUUGUAAGUGUCCUCCAGCUAGGAUGUCUGUUACCUCAUUGAUCAUCAGGGCUGAUUUCGUUGAUCUGGUUGGUUAUGUGUGUGUCCCUGUUUUCUCUCACCAUUCCAUGUAUAUCCUUCUCNAAACUGUUUUAGACCAAAGGGAAUAAACUUCCCCAACAGAAGAGAACUAGUCUUCAGCUAAGAGUACNUAAGGAGCUNAGCUNCACUACUAGAACUUUCAGACAAUACUCAAGGUCAUCUUCAGAACAAUAUCAGCCUGUCACACUUCCAAGAGUAUGGUCAUUUCCAAAUGAGGCACUAUGUACAGCAGUCUGCUCUCU
rnacentral:snRNA from 1 species